rnacentral:piRNA from 1 species
UGGAAAGACUAUUUAGAACCCUAGUUCACCA